rnacentral:lncRNA from 1 species
UUUUGGCCUCAAGAACUCGGCUGCCGUGCUUUCUGAAAAACUCACGCAGUCGUUUCAAAUCCAAUCUGAAGACCCACCCGAACCCAUCCAGUUUUCGGACUGUGGCGAACAUCCAACACUUGCAGCGCUUUUACCCUUAUGACCUAAAAGCUACGUAUUCUCUUUACAUUUUACAUUGAACAAAUAAAACCUCAGAUGUUCUUUGCGUAUCUAUUACCUUCUCGUUUCUUCGCCGAGCUCUUAAUCACGCUCCAGGGCUGUCCGACCUGUUUGACAGACUACACCCUUGCCUUUACGCUCGGGAGCUUCCCCCGCUAUGUGCCGACCUCCGGG